rnacentral:lncRNA from 1 species
UGCCAAUAUGACCAAAAAAGCUACAAUUAUAAGCCUAAAAUUUAGAGAUAAAGUUAUUUAUGUUCACCACCAUAUUAUCGUCCAUAGUCCAAGAGUAAUUCAAAACUGAAGCAAACUGCUCAUGCUCUAACCAAGAGGCAAGGAAGCAAAAGGGCUUUCUUUUAUUGGGCAUCUCAUGUAUCCUAGUAGAUAGGCAUAUCAGUCUGUGGUCCAAACCAAUAUAUAGGAGGUGAGCCACAGAAGAAUCCGAAAAUGUCUCCAACCAACUCGUAUUACAGAUUAAUCAGUCCAAUCUUUGAAGAAGAGAGCCUCGAC